rnacentral:misc_RNA from 1 species
UUCAACUCGUUCAUAGACGUG